UUGUUCUGUGUUUUAAUAAGGACUUUCCUUCUAGCCUUUCUUCCUGUACCCAGUUCUGCAGCUUUCAGAGCAGAGCAGAUUCUAGGUUUGUGUCAGAGUGCUCAGCAAAGCAGGAAAGAGAAUCCAGUGG